rnacentral:guide_RNA from 1 species
GAGGGCAGUAUAAUACCCUCGUAUAUGGCAGUGAAU